rnacentral:tRNA from 1 species
GGGGGUGUAGCUCAGUGGUAGAGCAUCUGUUUUGCAUGCAGAGAUUCCAACUUCAAUCCCUGCCAUCUCACA